UGCCGCCCGUGGUGUACAAAGAAUUUCUCAUGCAAACUUUUAUCUUAAUAUUCGUUAGAUACCGAUUUAGCCACUAUUCACGCUCGGUCAAGCAGGUUGACACAUGCCUCACUCCCAAUUGGGGCAAUAUUCUUUGCCAUGGCAUCUCGCUGCCAGUGUCUUAGAUCUUAAUUCCACGACAUGAUGCAUCAAGAAAAGAUUCUCCCUUGAACCAUAAACCAACAAUUUUAUUUUUUUGGUAAAUAACCAACAAUUGUAUUGACGGACUAUGUUACCACACCAUGUGAAUCUACUCCACCAGCCAAAAGUAGCGAGUACAAAUUAAACAGAGAAAUACCCAUAAGCCUUGGUUCAUGGUCGGGAAACUAUCUAAAUAGGUUGUCUCUUCGCUGAGCGAGUUUCAGGAAAUGAAUAUUGUGGAAUCUACUCCACCAGCCAAAAGUAGCGAGUACAAAUUAAACAGAGAAAUACCCAUAAGCCUUGGUUCAUGGUCGGGAAACUAUCUAAAUAGGUUGUCUCUUCGCUGAGCGAGUUUCAGGAAAUGAAUAUUGUGGUCGUGAAGAGUAGCGUCGAUCACC
rnacentral:lncRNA from 1 species